rnacentral:misc_RNA from 1 species
AUUAUUUUUUAAUCCUUAAUAAUUACUCCUUUAAAAGUAACACUGAACCUUACCUUGCACGAAACACUAGGUGUUGCAUAAAAUAAACAUGAGAAACCUAGCAAAACAUAAAUUGGGUUCUAAUAACGAGGAAGCAACUUUACAUGAUCGUUUAGAUGCAAAUAUACGCAACCAGCUUCAACUGCUGAUGUGAGGUUGAAGAACUCCAUGACAAGCCUUUGUUAUAGGAUCCGUCACAAAAUCAGAAGACUGAAUGGCAAACAAUACUGGUAUCACAAGAGAGAGAGAGAGAGAGAG